CAAUAUGUACUCACUGAUAAGUGGAUAUUAGCCCAAAACCUAGGAUACCCAAGAUAUAAGAUACAAUUUGCUAAACACAUGAAACUGAAGAAAAAUGAAGACUGAAGUGUGGACACUAUGCCCCUUCUUAGAAGUGGGAACAAAACACCCAUGGAAGGAGAUACAGAGACAAAGUCUGGAGCUGAGAUGAAAGGAUGAACCAUGUAGAGACUGCCAUAUCCAGGGAUCCACCCCAUAAUCAGCAUCCAAACGCUGACACCAUUGCAUACAAUAGCAAGAUUUUAUCGAAAGGACCCAGAUGUAGCAGCUGUCUCUUGUGAGACUAUGCCGGGGCCUAGCAAACACAGAAGUGGAUGCUCACAGUCAGCUAAUAGAUGGAUCACAGGGCUCCCAAUGGAGGAGCUAGAGAAAGUACCCUAGGAGCUAAAGGGAUCUGCAACCCUAUAGGUGGACAACAUUAUGAACUAACCAGUACCCUGGAGCUCUUGACUCUAGCUGCAUAUGUAUCAAAAGAUGGCCUAGUCGGCCAUCACUGGAAAGAGAGGCCCAUUGGUCAUGCAAACUUUAUAUGCCCCAGUACAGGGGAAAGCCAGGGCCAAAAAGGGGGAGUGUGUGGGUAGGUUAGUGGGGGUGGGUGGGUAUGGGGGACUUUUGGUAUAGCAUUGGAAAUGUAAAUGAACUAAAUACCUAAUAAAAAACAAAAAUAAAAAAAAAUAAAAGAGUAUAUCAUCUACCAAUUUUUCUACAUUUAGUAAAAGCUACUUCUUUCGGGAAAUUUCUGAAUGUAAUGUACUAUAACCACAUAAAGAGCUUGUGAUGUAAAUAAUUUUUAUUUCAUCUUACAUAUACUUUACAUUUUUGAUAUUUUCCCAAUUACUCUUACCACAGAAAUUUAGUUACCACCAACAUAUCAUGUAGUCUCUCUCCACAUAUUGACACUUUAAAAUAUAUGCCAUAUGUAAAUGAAUUUCAUGUGGUUUGUCUAUACAGAAGGAUACUUUAAAAUACUUUACAAAUGUAAAUGAGGUUAGGUUAUGCAAUAUUUUCCCCUACAUUGUUCUUACUUCCAGUUCAGUUAAAUGGUAACUCCUUUUAAAUUCCAUAUAUAUAUAUGUAGUAUAUGCAUAUAUGUGUAGUAUAAUAUAAUAGAAAGCAGUAGCUGUUCAUAUAGGUUUUCAAAAGGCCUAUUGUAUUAUCUUUGUCCUUCCCCAAACUCUACCCUCCACUUAGCCUUUUCAAUGAAAUUGGGCUUUGAAACAAUGUUGAAAAAUAUAAGUAUUUUGUGACUCUUGGAGAAGGACUCCAUAAGCUUUACGUUAUGAAAUGUGCAUGACAUUUUAGGAUAAAAGGCAGACUGUUAAGGUCUGAGUGUCAAAAAUCUUCCUAGGCUAAUAAUUUAAAUGCUUAUUGUGCAGAUAGUUAUUCUAUGUUGUGACAUUAUACAAAUAUUAGGGCCUAAGUCCACCCAUUUGUAAACAAAGAUAAGAACACCUCUUUUAACAGUUGAAGAAUAACAUGCUGUGUGUUAUUAUCACAAUGUCAAAAUCCAUUUCUCCAUUGUAGAAAGCCUAGGUCUUCUAUUUACUGGAUGCUGUAACUAAUGCUCCAAUACACAUAUAACAGUGUCUUUUUAUCUGAGAAAGAAUUGUCUUUUUUUUUUUCCUUGUAUUUUGGCCUAUUUUCCUUUUCUUUUUUUCUUGUUGUUUUGUUUGUUUGUUUGUUUGUUUUUUGUUUUUCCAGACAGGGCUUCUCUGUAUAGCCCUGGCUGUCCUGGAACUCACUUUGUAGACCAGGCUGGCCUUGAACUCAGAAAUCCUCCUGCCUCUGCCUGCCAAGUGUGGGAAUUAAAGGCGUGCGCCACCAUGCCUGGCUCUGGCCUAUUUUUCUUUUGUACUAUCAUUUUGUAUUGGUUAUUUUAUUUACUUACAUUUCAUAUGUUAAACCCUUUCCCAGUUUCCCCUCCACAAACCCCCAUUCCCUCUCAAUUACUAUAUGAAGGUGCUGCCCCACCCACCCACUCCCAUGUCAGUACCUUACCAUUUCCCUAUUUGGGUCUUCCAGCAUCCACAGGACCAAGGGUCCCCCUCCCAUUGAUGCCAGAUAAGACAAUCCUCUACUACAUAUGCAGCUGGAGCCAUGGGUCCCUCCAUGUGUACUCUUUGGUUAGUGGUUUAGUCUCUGGAAGCUUUAGGGAGUCGGGUUGGUUGAUUGUGUUCUUUCUUUAGGGUUACAAACACCUUCACCUCCUUCAGUUCUUCCCCUAACCUUUCCACUAGUUUCUCCAUGCUCAGUCUGAUGGUUGGCUGCGUCCAUCCCCAUCUGUAUUGAUCGAGCCCUGGCAUUUUAUUUUAUUUUAAAAUGUCCAUAGUGAGCAUAUGAUAUCAAUAUAAAUUUUGGGUUUAUAUGUUCUGGUUUUGGUUUGGGGCUUUGGGCUUUUGUUAUUCUUGUCUUGUUCUUUCUUUCUUUCUUUCUUUCUUUCUUUCUUUCUUUCUUUCUUUCGCUGAAAUUCAUUACAAGUAAAAAAAAAUUUAUUAUUAUAUGAAGAAAAGAAGGACUAUUGUGGCUUAUGGCUUGAGGGCUCAGUGUAUGACUGAAGCACUCUCUCUAUGUCCCUAUAUACAAUGUAAUGGAGAUACGAGUAAAUGAAAGGAUAAGAAUAAUCACAUCAUGGAAGACAAAAACAAAAUGUGACAGGAAAAAGUCCAGAUAUAUAAAUCAAAAAACACUUUUGAUUGUAAAGGGCUGCAAUCUAUGUGCCGCCACUAGAUGGUGCUAAACCUCAUUGUGCGCAGCUGCGAGAGCACAGCCAGCCAAAGUCACCAGUCCGUCUCCGAGGCUUUUGCCCAACCCCUGGGGGCUUUAACCUAUCCCCAGGGUGCAUGAGGAUCAUGGGUGUUGCUACCAGUCCUAGUUUAGACACGUCACCAAAAGUAUUUAAGCCACACACUUUCUGAGCUUUCUUUGUCUACCUCAAUAUGAUAUAGAAGUAAAAGUUAACCGUGGAAGAAUCUGGUGUGUCCUGUGUUUAUUUCCUGCGGGACGGGGAUAAGCUCGGGAUACUUGGUGCUAGAAACCCGGGAAAAAAUGCCUUAACAACGCCGGCACCAGAGGAGACCCUUCUAAUCGAAGCAGAUUCAGAACCACGGUGGAUUUUGGAAUUCUGAGAGCAUGCUGAAUCCUUGUAAGUAACUCUGAUCCUUCUUAAUCCCUCCCCUUAACUGGAAGGCAGCACUAAAAGCCUUUUGUUCUCAUGCUGGCUGUGUUAACCCUAUUUCUCCCGGUUUGAUCCUGCACUCACCAGAAGUGGCGCUGAAAG
rnacentral:lncRNA from 1 species